CUCUUUAAUAAUUGCAUUGUGUAUUGAUCCACAAAGUUUGCAGCAUGACAGCAUGACAGUGUGUAUUGAUCCACAAAGUUUGCAGCAAUUGUGGAAUACUAUGGUAGUACAAUAUAUUGAUCCACACAGUUUGUGGCAUGACAGUUUAAGGAAAUUACAGAAGUGUAGCACUGAUGGGUAUGUCAUGUGAACAUUUUUCAAUGGAGCUACUUGUUUAAAUUUACAUGGGUGAAUUGUCACACCAAUAUCCUCUGAUGAACCUUGGGUUUUUUUUUUUUUUUCUUUUUCUUCCUCUCUUGGUCAAGCCAAACAAUUUGUCUUCAUGAGGACUUCAUGUUACCAAUAAGCAGCAUCUUGUGUUCUCCUUCUCUUCAUCCCCUUGUCAAGACAACAAUUUGAUGCAUCUUUGCAUUGGGUUGCUUCCUCUCCCUCUCCUUCCUCCUUGAGGCAAAACCAUAUCAUUGCUUAGUUUUGACUAUGUUCUUUUGAUCAUUGUGAGAAAGCAUCAUUGUAAGAUGUACAAGAAACGUGUUGUGGUGCAUUAUCCCCUUCUCUACCACCUAAAAUCUAUUUUACACGAUCAUAAGGACCAAGGUGUUUUAAGCAUCAGGUAAGGAAUUUGUUGACAAUGAUGUGAGAGAUAGAGACAUGCAACAUACCGGUAUUCAAAAGACGUGAUGUUCUUCUUUUGCAUUUGACAAUAUUCAUUUAGUCUGAACUCCAUAUUUGAGCAACUUAGAAUCUCCACCUUCAUUAGGAUUGCAGGAAGUUGGCUUCUUGGAAAGACAUGGAAAGGGAGCAUCUAGAAAUCUGAAAGAAUUCCAGAGGCUUGUUGCUACUUUUGAAUCAUUCCAAUCAAUAGCAACUCCAAAAGAUAUAUACAAAUCUAUCCCUGGAAAAGAGAUGUGUCCUGUGCAUAUGCAACCAUCUCUCUAAUAGACUCGGGAUUGUGCAUCCUCAUGGUAGUUUCAUAUAUAUUGCACCAUAUGAAUUGUAGAUAUCCAACUACCAAUAUCACUACACCUGAAUGAACUAGGAGUUAUGCUGAAAGUGAAUUUGGACAACCCAUCAUCGAAAGAAUCCUGUAGGAAUACACCAAAAAGAAAAUCUUAUUAACAUAAAUGAAUUCAUCCCGCUAAUGGAUAAAGUUGCCUAAAAAAUUAAAUUGGGAGAGAUAGAAAUAUUGAUGCUUACAUGGGACUGUGAGAGGGACCAACAAGUGGAACAAACAUUGAAUAGUAAAUGUAAAACCAUAAAGCUCGUAACUGUUGUCAAAAGCUGCUCUCUACUGAAGUUUUUUUAACAAUAAAGGUAAGUAGAAAAUUCACCUAAUAGCUCCACUUGUAGGAAAUUUCAAUGGUGUGAAACUAGGAUAUGGUGAACUCACUUUUGCUAAUGCAGUGAACCAUUAUGGAUAAAAAAUGAAUCUCACCAUCAGUUUUCACAUAGGAGAUGUGGGCUCUCUUUGGCCCAUUUCUCAGUAUUGGAUCUAAGAGUUUUGUCUCUCAUAUAUGGUUCCACUUGCCAAAUACAAUGGAGCUUAGCUGAUGACAACACAUUCAGAAAAAUGCAAGAAUUCCAAAGACAUGUUUUGUGCUAUCAUGAAUCAUUCCAAUCAAUAAGGAAUCGAAGUGCUAUAAUUUUGAAUUGUCUUAGGGAACAUACCCCAAUUCAAUCUUGCGGAAGUAAACUGUCUUGAGCACCAACUCAAUUCUGAGAUCUUUGGAAGACUUGAGACACCAAUUCAAUAAAAAAUGCUAGUUGUUUUUGUGGUAGAUUGUCUUCCUCCACUAAUACUGGGGAAAAUGCUUUUGAAAACCAUUAAUCUGAAAAUUACAGAGGAAAAUGAGAUUAUGUUGUUAUUGUAUCUCCAAUCUCCUUGACAUAAAUAGAUAUUUCCUUGCAACCAACAAUUUCUAAUUCUAUCACUUCUAUUCUAGCAUGUGAUUUAGGAAGAGAAUUAAGGUUCAGAAUAUUGCCAACAUGCAAGGAAUUGACAAAGGCCAAGUGGGCAGCCAUAAUAGUUAGUUCACAAACAAAUGACACCAUUGGAAGUGGAACACAAAACAUAAACUUCAAAAAUAAAACAUGUAUCCCACAAUCAUAAAUACCAAGGUGUUUAAGCAUCAAGUAAGGCAUCUCUUGACAAUGAUGUGAGAGAGAGACAUGCAACAUACCAGUAUUCAAGAGAACUAGUAUUCUUCUUUUGCAUUAGGCAACAUUCAUCUAUUCUACACUCCAAAUUUUAGCAACUCAGGAUCUCCACCUUCAUUAGGAUUGUAGGAAGCUGGCCUCUUGGAAACACAUGAGAGAACAUUUAGAAAUCUAAAAGAAUUCCAGAGACUUGUUGUUGCUUGAAUUGUUAAUCAUUCCAAUCAUAAAUACCAAGGUAUUUCAGGAUUAGGUAAGGCAACUCUUGGCAAUGAUGUGAGAGAUAAAGCCAAGCAGCAUACUAGUAUUAAAGAGAAGUAGUAUUCUUCUUUUGCAUUCAACAACAUUCAUCUACUGUACACCCCAAAUUUUAGCAACUUAGGAUCUCCACCUUCAUUAGGAUUGUAGGAAGCUGGCCUCUUGAAAACACAUGAGAGGACAUUUAGAAAUCUCAAAGAAUCCCAAAGACUUGUUGUUGCUUUAAUUGUGAAUCAUUCCAAUCAGUAACAACCUCAAAGCCCUACAUACGAUUUUUAACUAUCAACCUUCUUACCUUGAAUGAAAAACCUAUCCAUAGGAAAGAGGUGUCUUGGGCAUGCAACCAUCAAUUAUUAGCUAUCGAAAAGGCUUGAAGUUGUGCACCCACUUGGUAGUUUCUAAUUCAUUAAACCACAUAACUUCUAGAUAUCCAAUUGGCACGUCAUUACAUCUGAAUGUAAGUGAAUAGGAAGUUAGACAACCUUUCACAAAAAGAAUCCUGUAAGAAUACACCAAACAAAACUUCUUGUUAACAUAAAUGAAUUCACUCAGUUAAAUUAUUGUGUGAAAAUUUAAAUUGGGAUAAAUAAAAAUACCGAUGCUUACAUGGGACUGUGGGAGGACCAACAAGAGGAAUAGACUUUGAAUAGCAAAUGUGAAGCCAUAAAGCUUGAAAUUGUUGUCAGACGCUGCCCCCUAGCCAAGUUUUCAACAAAAAGGUUCAAUGUAGGGAUUCUCUAGUAGUUGAACUUGUAGAAAAUUUCAAUAGUAUGACUUUAUACUUGUAAUAAGAAGAUAAAUUAUGUGUUGGGAAUAAAUGAAACUUACUAAAUAUAUGGAUAGGAUAGGGUGAACUCUCUGUGUUUCCAUUUUUGGAAUCUAACGGAUCAAAGAUGGAUCUCUCCAUCUAUUUCCAAAUAGGAGAUGUGGGCAAUCUUGAAUUGAUGUCUCAUCAUUGGAUUUGGAACUGAUGUAUAGCUCUGAAACCAUGAUAGGGUUCUCCUUCAGUUGUCAAAUACAACUGGAGCUUAGGUGAGGUCUUGGUGAUAUAGAAAAGUCAUGGAUUCUAGAAUCUUUACAUGAAAAUAUAAAUGAGAUACAUUGGAAGAAAGCCCAGGCCUUGGUCAUCUGAGAAGAAACACAUCUUAAAUAUCCUAUCAAUCAUGAUGAGUUUUUUUAGAAUCAUGAGUCUAUGAAGGCCUCACUCAGAUAAGGGAUGUCUUUGACAUUUCUCACUCUUCAAUCUCAGGAAGGUACAUCAUCAACCAAAACAUUAUGAAUAUGAGUCAUCAUGAGGCAACUUGUUUAUGUUUUUUAUUCUUUUCUCAUUGGAAGGGAUUAAAAGAUAUGUAGUUGCAAGAUAAGAGAUGUAGCCAGUAGUGAGAGCAUCAAACAAUCCUUCUCUAAUGCAGACCAAAAAUUUUAGCAACUCGUGAUCUCUGCAAUUUAGAGCACUGAAGGAAGUUGGCCUGUUGGAAAGAUGUGACAUGACAUUUAGAAAUGUGCAAGAAUUCCAAAGAUCAUUUCAAUCAUUAAGGAAUCCAAAGCCCUAUAAUUUGAAUAGGGCAUCCACUUGGCAUGGAUAACGCACCUAUCUUGGGAAAAAGAUUGGGCACCAAUUCAAUCAUCAACUCUCUAUGAAACUUGAGAUACAAGGUGCCAAUGUUAGUUGCUUUCGUGGCAGUUCUUCUUUUACUGGUAUUAGGGCAAAGCCUUUUGAAAACCCUCAAUCUACAAAUUACCAAGGACAUGAGAUCAUGUUGUAAUCUCAUAAAAAUAAAAUAUAAAAAACAAAUAUUUUUUCACCCAUGAAUACUGUAACCAGCUUUUAAAAAACAUUAGGUAUUGAAAUAACCAAAUGUUCCUCAGGUAUUAAAGUUAAAGUUCAAAGUUACCAAGAGUGCUUUUUUGACCCAUGCAUAAAAUAAAAAGAAAAUAAGAAAGCAUAACAUAUAACUCAUAAUUGUGUCAAGUGUGAGUUCAAUUCAUGGUCAUGCACAAUUGCAUUAAGUAUUUAAAAGCUAAAUAUGGCUAUGUGCAAUUCAAAGAAUAUCAUACAACUCACAAUAGAAUCCUCACAACUCACCAUAGAAUGAGAACUCAAUUGUCUUUCUUCUAGUCAUAAGAGUUUGUGCUCUUCGAGCCUCUAACUUGCACAACUUAAGACAGCAAGACAUGCUAAAAAGUCUCUUUCACCUCAAACAUUAAUCAAAUCUGCAGUCUAAAUCUAGAUAAUAUAAUUUCCUACAAAUAUAACAUGUUGCAAACAAAUAACAAUAUGUUGGUUUAAAAUUGAAGAGCAUUUCAAACCAAACAAAAUAGAAAAAAUUUCAGUGUAUAUCACUCACCUAAAAUCUUGUAUGUUGGAUAAAAUUCCUGCUAAUGAAUCCUGACAAUUAUUUGCCAUCAAAAUUUAGUAAUGAUUUAUAAACAAAAAAAAAAUUACAAAUUUUUUUAGCAAUGUUCCAUGAAAAACACAUUGCAUAUUGAUUGAGAAAUUAAUAUGAAAUCCACUAAUUUGAAAGGCACUAAAUACCAUAUGUUCUCUUGGGUUCCCCAUGUAUCAAAACAGAUGCAAGUUGCUAUUCGAGCCACCACAAUCACGGAGCAAAAGACUUCUUAGCAUGGAAGGCAUACCAUAUUUUAAACAAGGUUCUUAACUUUCCAAGAGACAUAAGAACGUGGUGUGUAGUAGAAAUUGUAGAAUAAUUAAAUGGAAGUUAGACAUAUGCACUUGCUACUUAGUUUUUUAAUCAUGUGUGAAAUAAAUAAAGAGGUGUUACUUGCAUUUAGGCCAAACUUGUAGUCUCUAAUGUGAAAUCCAAAUCUCAUUUUGUCAACAGAAUAAGAGCAUUAAACAUAUAGCAAAUUGAAUCCUUCCUUUUGACAAUUUGAAAACCUUGAAGGAAUGACUUGAGAUCAUAAAUAACUAUACGGUAAAGAAAAUUUUCAUCAUUCUUUCUAAAAGGAAAAUUUGUCAUUUCCUUGAUUACGGAAGAUUGAUAUUUUAAUAUAAAGUGCACUUAUUAAAGUAAACUUUGUGCAUUAUAUAUUGAAUUAGAAAAUUGUAUUUAAAUUCGGUUAGAAGGGUAUCACAAAAUAUACUUAAUUGAAAUGAAGGCAUCCAUGCCAAUUUGUAACUGUUGUCAAAUAACACCCUCCCUUGUCAUUUUACAUCCCAUGCUUGCAUGUCAAAUCUCUAACUAAGACUGCUCAAAGAGCACCUAAAAGAAAAUUAUGAAGAUUUCAUUACAGGUAGAACUUAAGAUGCUUACAUUGACCAUGGGAGAGAUCGAUAAGAAACAAAUACUCACCCAUAAGUUUGUAACUAUUGUACUCAAAACUUGCUUCCUAGUCAAACUUUCAACAUAACUCCAUGGAGACUU
rnacentral:lncRNA from 1 species